rnacentral:tRNA from 1 species
GAUAAAAUGGCCGAGGUUAGGCAGUAAAUUGUAAAUUUACUUACGAAAAUUUUUCUUUUAUCA